rnacentral:rRNA from 1 species
UUGGAGAGUUUGAUCCUGGCUCAGGACGAACGCUGGCGGCGUGCUUAACACAUGCAAGUCGAGCGGUAAGGCCCUUCGGGGUACACGAGCGGCGAACGGGUGAGUAACACGUGGGUGAUCUGCCUCGCACUCUGGGAUAAGCCUGGGAAACUGGGUCUAAUACCGGAUAUGACCACGAAUCGCAUGGUUUGUGGUGGAAAGGUUUACUGGUGCGAGAUGGGCCCGCGGCCUAUCAGCUUGUUGGUGGGGUAACGGCCUACCAAGGCGACGACGGGUAGCCGGCCUGAGAGGGCGACCGGCCACACUGGGACUGAGACACGGCCCAGACUCCUACGGGAGGCAGCAGUGGGGAAUAUUGCACAAUGGGCGAAAGCCUGAUGCAGCGACGCCGCGUGAGGGAUGACGGCCUUCGGGUUGUAAACCUCUUUCGACAGGGACGAAGCGCAAGUGACGGUACCUGUAGAAGAAGCACCGGCCAACUACGUGCCAGCAGCCGCGGUAAUACGUAGGGUGCGAGCGUUGUCCGGAAUUACUGGGCGUAAAGAGCUUGUAGGCGGUCUGUCGCGUCGAUCGUGAAAACGUGCAGCUCAACUGCGCGCCUGCGGUCGAUACGGGCAGACUAGAG